CCAUGCCAUCCUGAAUGCACCUGAUCUGGUCUCAUCUCAGAAGCUAAGCAGGGUCUGGCCCGGUUAGUAAUUGGAUGAGAGAAAAAUCCAGCAACACUACUUCCAUAUUCACAGGGCAUACCUGGAUG
ensembl:rRNA 5S_rRNA 5S ribosomal RNA